CAAGCGAAGAAAGCAAGAAAGAAAGAAAGCAAGAAAGAAAGAAAGAAAGAAAGAAAGAAAGGUCA
rnacentral:ribozyme from 15 species